rnacentral:rRNA from 1 species
UACGAAGGGGGCUAGCGUUGUUCGGAAUUACUGGGCGUAAAGCGCACGUAGGCGGAUCUUUAAGUCCGGGGUGAAAUCCCGAGGCUCAACCUCGGAACUGCCUUUGAUACUGGGGAUAUCGAGUCCGGGAGAGGUGAGUGGAACUGCGAGUGUAGAGGUGAAAUUCGUAGAUAUUCGCAAGAACACCAGUGGCGAAGGCGGCUCACUGGCCCGGUACUGACGCUGAGGUGCGAAAGCGUGGGGAGCAAACAGG